GACGAACGCUGGCGGCGUGCCUAAUACAUGCAAGUCGAGCGGACCACUUCGGUGGUCAGCGGCGGACGGGUGAGUAACACGUGGGCAACCUGCCUGUAAGACUGGGAUAACACCGGGAAACCGGUGCUAAUACCGGAUAAUCCUUUCCUUCACAUGAAGGGAAGCUGAAAGACGGUUUCGGCUGUCACUUACAGAUGGGCCCGCGGCGCAUUAGCUAGUUGGUGAGGUAACGGCUCACCAAGGCGACGAUGCGUAGCCGACCUGAGAGGGUGAUCGGCCACACUGGGACUGAGACACGGCCCAGACUCCUACGGGAGGCAGCAGUAGGGAAUCUUCCGCAAUGGACGAAAGUCUGACGGAGCAACGCCGCGUGAGCGAUGAAGGCCUUCGGGUCGUAAAGCUCUGUUGUCAGGGAAGAACAAGUACCGGAGUAACUGCCGGUACCUUGACGGUACCUGACCAGAAAGCCACGGCUAACUACGUGCCAGCAGCCGCGGUAAUACGUAGGUGGCAAGCGUUGUCCGGAAUUAUUGGGCGUAAAGCGCGCGCAGGCGGUCCUUUAAGUCUGAUGUGAAAGCCCACGGCUCAACCGUGGAGGGUCAUUGGAAACUGGGGGACUUGAGUGCAGAAGAGGAAAGUGGAAUUCCACGUGUAGCGGUGAAAUGCGUAGAGAUGUGGAGGAACACCAGUGGCGAAGGCGACUCUCUGGACUGUAACUGACGCUGAGACGCGAAAGCGUGGGGAGCAAACAGGAUUAGAUACCCUGGUAGUCCACGCCGUAAACGAUGGAUACUAGGUGUAGGAGGUAUC
rnacentral:rRNA from 1 species